CUCCAUAUCUCCUCUCUCUCAUUCCUUUUUCUCCUUCUGUCUCCUGAAGGGGAAACUUGGUGGCCAGUCCUUUGCCACGUUGAGCUUCCAGCCAGUCCAUCUUGCUUGUUACUGGAGCAUCUUUUUUCUUUUUCUUUUUUUUUCUCCUUCCCGCUCUCGGAAGCUUCAGAAGACAAAAUUUAAAAAGAAGCAGAAGCAAAGUUUGAACGCAGCGGCGCGGCCGCGUCGAUCGACUCACUGUCGGGAGAUGAAGUUGCUGCUAAUUAGCGGAGAAGGACGCCGAGACUAAUGUCAGCAGAGAGGAGGCAGAAGAAGAUUACCAAGGUCACAGCCUGAUCAGCACUUUGCAGAAGUCCGACUGUGCGAGCAGCAGGAGCUGCACUCAGGGAGUCUGGUAAUGGAUUCACAGUGAGUACAGUUUGUGUAGAAGUGAAUGGAUUUAAGAAAAAACCUUCUCCACAGUCUCCUCCAACCGCCCAGCUCGCCUGCCCAGUGUUCAGACUACCUGUUCAGGAAGUAGUGGUUGUACAGUAGUCUGCACAUUGGUUAGGCUGGCUGGGGAAACACGGGACACCACAAAAAGACAGAAAGAGAGAGAAAGAGAGAAAGAGAGAAAGAAAGAGAGAGAGAGAGAGAGGGAGAGAGAGAAAGAGGGCAUCUACCAGGCACAAGCACAUCAGGCUGUGGGAACACGCAGCACCACCCCUCGUUCAUCUGGACAAGGCCUAAAUAAAGCAACCAAAGGCCCCACCACAGAAGCCGGGCCCUCGUCUGGCUUGAAUUUAUGAAAGACUGACACAUUAUUCUUUUAUCUAUAAAAAGGCACAACGUUAUAGUUUAAAUAUCUUUCUUUUUUUUCUCUUUCUUUUCUUCUGUUGUCGCUAAACUCAAAGUGAAAUCAGAGCUAAAAUUGUAACUGUAAAAAAAAAAAAAAAAAGAAGAAAGAAAUAAAGAUGUAUAGAACUCAA